AGUGGCAAACGGGUGAGUAUAAUGUGGGAAUCUGCCUUUUGGUCUGGAAUAACACGAGGAAACUUGUGCUAAUACCGGAUAAGCCUUUACAGGGAAAGUUUUAAUGCCAAAAGAUGAGCCCGCACUUGAUUAGCUAGUUGGUAAGGUAAAAGCUUACCAAGGCAACGAUCAAUAGCUGUUCUUAGAGGAAGACCAGCCACAUUGGGACUGAGACACGGCCCAAACUCCUACGGGAGGCAGCAGUGGGGAAUCUUGCACAAUGGGGGAAACCCUGAUGCAGCGAUGCCGCGUGAGUGAAGAAGGCCUUUGGGUUGUAAAACUCUUUCGUCGGGGAAGAAAAUGACUGUACCCGAAUAAGAAGGUCCGGCUAACUUCGUGCCAGCAGCCGCGGUAAUACGAAGGGACCUAGCGUAGUUCGGAAUUACUGGGCUUAAAGAGUUCGUAGGUGGUUAAAAAAGUUGAUGGUGAAAUCCCAAGGCUCAACCUUGGAACUGCCAUCAAAACUUUUUAGCUAGAGUAUGAUAGAGGAAAGUGGAAUUUCUAGUGUAGAGGUGAAAUUCGUAGAUAUUAGAAAGAACAUCAAAAGCGAAGGCAACUUUCUGGAUCAUUACUGACACUGAGGAACGAAAGCAUGGGUAGCGAAGAGGAUUAGAUACCCUCGUAGUCAUGCGU
rnacentral:rRNA from 1 species